CCGAAUAGGGGAGCCGAAGGGAAACCGAGUCUUAACUGGGCGUUAAGUUGCUGGGUAUAGACCCGAAACCCGGUGAUCUAGCCAUGGGCAGGUUGAAGGUUGGGUAACACUAACUGGAGGACCGAACCGACUAAUGUUGAAAAAUUAGCGGAUGACUUGUGGCUGGGGGUGAAAGGCCAAUCAAACCGGGAGAUAGCUGGUUCUCCCCGAAAGCUAUUUAGGUAGCGCCUCGUGAAUUCAUCUCCGGGGGUAGAGCACUGUUUCGGCAAGGGGGUCAUCCCGACUUACCAACCCGAUGCAAACUGCGAAUACCGGAGAAUGUUAUCACGGGAGACACACGGCGGGUGCUAACGUCCGUCGUGAAGAGGGAAACAACCCAGACCGCCAGCUAAGGUCCCAAAGUCAUGGUUAAGUGGGAAACGAUGUGGGAAGGCCCAGACAGCCAGGAUGUUGGCUUAGAAGCAGCCAUCAUUUAAAGAAAGCGU
rnacentral:rRNA from 1 species